rnacentral:rRNA from 1 species
CCCUUAGAUGUUCUGGGCCGCACGCGCGCUACACUGAUGCAUUCAACGAGUCUACAACCUGGUCUGAUAGGGCUGGGUAAUCUUUUGAAUGUGCAUCGUGAUUGGGAUAGAUGAUUGCAAUUCUUCAUCUUCAACGAGGAAUGCCUAGUAAACGCAAGUCAUCAGCUUGCAUUGAUUACGUCCCUGCCCUUUGUACACACCGCCCGUCGCACCUACCGAUUGAAUGGUCCGGUGAAAUCUUCGGAUUGAGACUUUGAUUUCUUCACGGAAAACGCUGUUUUAAGAAGUUGAUUAAACCUUACCAUUUAGAGGAAGGUGAAGUCGUAACA